UUAUUCCAGAACUGUCCAAGAAGCAACCUUUUAAUGUUAAAUUAUCAUAUAUGAAUAUUGUAUGAGAUUGCAGAUUAGUUUUCACUGUAAUAAUCCAGCAUUGUAAUAGUAUUUGCUUCAUGUAUUCUGUUGAAGGAACUAUUGUGAUUCAUAUUAUGAUUAUUAGCAACAAUUUUUAUUUUACCUUGCAUGUAUAAAAAUUAAAUUAUAGUAGGAUCAAAUAUGAAAAUGGCAAUAGGAAUGUUAGAUGCAAAGAUCUACACACAUUUUUUCAUAUAUCUGAAUUAGGUCUAAAUACACAAAACUUUUUUAAGUUCUCCCCCUAAAACUAAUAUGAACCAAACUCAAGCAAAAAACCCCAGUCUUCUCAUCCAAUACUUACACACAGCUAGAUGAUAGUGGCUUGUAGACAUCAAGAAAAAGAUUUCAUUCUAAGUCUUUUUUCAUUAGAAAGUAUAUGAUUAUAGACUUUAGUUAUCAAACUUUAAAUUUCAUGUUUUAAUAUAAAUUAAUCCAAAUGCUUUCUUCUUUAGCAUGACAAAGUAAUUCCAUUUAAAAAUUCUCUUUAAAUCUAAACUUCCACAUUACUUGACAUUUUCAAAAGUACCAAAAAUUGAUAGUUGCGUAAGCUCUAUUAUUUGUAGUUUUCUUAAAGCAUUUGAUUAAUUCUUAUAUGUAUAUUCUUUAAAAUAUAAUAGCAAAUAUGUUGAGAAGAGUGACAAUAAAUACCUUCCUUUUCUGUUCUGUAAAACUUUUUUAACAUUUUGAGUCCUAGUUUACUUGGUCCUAAGGGUUAAAUGAUAAGAAGUGUAAGUACAAUUGUUCUAUUCUUAUGACCUGGUGAUUUGUGAAAAUUUCUUUUAUCUUGAGAUCGAGAAAUUUAAUAAAGCUUUCCAGAACUGAAUUAGUUAUCUAAAUAUUUUGGACAAGUGCUACUUACAAAUAAAAUUUGAAAGUGUAUUAAUCAAAAAUUUAUUCCUUACACUGUUUUUUUUCUUUCUUUUCUUCUUUUUUAAACUUCAAGUUCCAUUUAAAGUUUUGACCUUUGCAUGGACUAAGUCAAGAAAAGAGAAAUUCUGCUUUUUAAAAUAUUGGUUUAUAGUGGUAUAUUUUUGCCUCAGCAAUAAAUUGGCAGGUGACCAAAAAUGUUAAAUUAAAAUUAAUUGCACACUUUGAGAUUGUUGCCUUUCUUGGUGUUUUUCCUUUUUGCCUUAUUAUGAGUUGGGUAUAUGGUAUUGAAGGAAACUAUGCAGGUAAAACAGUUUCUAUUAACUGGACUGUAUUAACUAAAAAGAGCUACACAAAGUUUUUACUUUAUCCUCACCUGCCAAUUUGAAAACUAUUGGUAAAAUCAUUAUUCAAUAGGCCAAUAUUUUCUAAAUUAGUAAGACUUACCUUACAAAAGUUAUCAGAUGAUGCUGAUAUUUCUCUU
rnacentral:lncRNA from 1 species